UACGGAGGGGGCUAGCGUUGUUCGGAAUUACUGGGCGUAAAGCGCGCGUAGGCGGCUUUGUAAGUUAGAGGUGAAAGCCCGGAGCUCAACUCCGGAAUUGCCUUUAAGACUGCAUCGCUAGAAUCAUGGAGAGGUGAGUGGAAUUCCGAGUGUAGAGGUGAAAUUCGUAGAUAUUCGGAAGAACACCAGUGGCGAAGGCGGCUCACUGGACAUGUAUUGACGCUGAGGUGCGAAAGCGUGGGGAGCAAACAGG
rnacentral:rRNA from 1 species